GUGAUGGUUAUGUCAUAGGUAAAACGUCUUCGUCUUGUAGUCUUGAUGAAUAACUGUGUUUCUUUAAGAUAUUCUAUUUCAAAGCUUUUUAUUAAUUCAUUGCAAACUUGCAUCGUACACUUUAAGCUGCAGACCCCCGUCACCCCCGCCACCGCUACCCCCACCUGUGGUUCUAGACAAGCAGAUCAGAGCUGUAUUCAUGCGGACGUUCGCUCAACUACUGCAAGGUUAUCGUAGCUUCCUCACCAUUAUCAGAAUCCACCCAAAGCCCGUCAUCACUUUCCAUAAGGUUUGGAGACUUGUGACAACAUCUUCACCAACAACAUUUCAACAACAACUCAUCUUCAACAUUUCAUCAACAACUUGAUCUUCACGUAUCGUUACUGCAGAAUGUUUGAGGAGGGCCUUUCCGAGGCUCCGUAACUGCCCUGGGUGUGGCUGGACCUCAUGGAGAUGAUUGUACGACUUUGCUACUGCUUGUUAGAGGAUGUCUUUCCCCACCACAACGGAGGAUAAGACUCCUCUGAUCUUGGUUUCUCCAGGGUAGCUUUUGCCUACCCCGGAUGCUGCUGGGAUUCUCAGUUCUGCUGGACAACAUCUGGAUUGUACGACUUUGUUACUACUUCUUAGAGGAUGUUUUUCUCCACCAGAAUGGAGGAUUUACAAUUCUCAAGACUCCUAAGAUCUUUUCACGAUACCUACUGGGAAAUCAUAAGGUUGCGGAAGGAGAUGGUUCUAGCAAGGCUUGGACUUCCACUAACUGUUUGAGCAUUAUAAAAUAACCGUCAAUGUAGACUAUGUACAUAAUGACAGGUGCUAAAGCACAUAUUGUUACCAUGGUUAUGUAAUAAACUUUGGACAUUAUAA